rnacentral:misc_RNA from 1 species
AAUAACGCAAUCAACAUGUCAUCCUAUCGCAGUUAUACACCCUGGAAAUCGAACUUGGGCAGUGCCUACAAACCGGCCAGUUCGACUUAUACACUAGGGGGUGAUUUGGGCAGUGGUUCCACCUCCCGCUACACUUCAUUGGCCACGCCCAGCGCCUAUCGGCCCUCCUUCUCGGGCGGCACCUAUCGCAUAAAGCGUGAUCCACCCGCUACGCCAGUCACCAGCUAUGUGAGUCGCUAUGGCUGCACUGCCAAGACGGAUGCCAAAGAUGCCAGCAGUUCCGCUGAUCGGAGCAGUCCCAUCAAGCGUUACACGGGCGCCGCAAGCAGCAAGCUGGGAACGGGCGGCACUAAAUACGGACGCUCGCGGGAUCCCAGUCCGGUGGCGCUGGAGCACACGAAUCGCGGCAAGUCCAAGUCACGGGAUCCCAGUCCGGUGCUGGACAGCGCGAGAAGUAAGCUGGGAGGCGCCACCUAUCGCAGCAGCACCGCCAGAAAUGGCUACAACAGUCGCUAUGCCGCCGGAGCAAGAUUGAACAGUGGUGGCAGCAACAGCAUGCUGGACAAGUCCAUCUCCUACUUGACCACCAGUGAUUUUCAUGCCAGGACUGCCAGCCGCGCCAAGGCGAGCCGGGAGAAGGAACUGGACGAACCAGAGGUGCAGUUGACCAAAGAGGAACCAAAGGAGCAGCAGGAAUCGCAGCUGGAGCAGCCAACGGGUGAGGAGGAAACAUUUGUGUCCGUUGUGGUGGUCACACGUGCCACCUCACCCACUCCGCCCGGCAGCACCACUGUGCAGCGAACACGUCGCGUGGACAUUGCCAAGACCAUUGAGAAGACCAUCAAACGCUCGACGAAGCCCCGCCAGAUGCUGGAGAAGGAGAUGCAAUCGGAUCGCUUGGAUGACUCCACACGCUAUUUGCGCUACAGCGCCGGUUCCGGUGGCAGCAGCAGCAUCAGCUCCACCUACAGCCACAGGGAUCGGAUAAGCAGCCUGCGCUACAAUGCCAGCUCCCAAUCCAACAGCAAUUCACCCAAGUCAGGCACACCUAGCCUGGAGGCCAAAGAGGUGACUUCACCGCGGAGUAAUGCAAGUGUUGCCAGCUGUUCACCCAAAUCCACGCCCGGCUUGGAGACCAAAGAGGUAGCAUCGGCCAAGAGCAAUGGUUCUGCUUUGGUCAGUGUCGCCAACUCCAAGUCCAGCAACAGCAGCAGCAACAAGUCCAAGCUGUCACCACCGAAAGCAGUGCGUCUCAAUUCCCGCCAAUCAUCCGUGGAGAAUCUGGUCAACAAGCCACCAGCUGCGCCCAGCAAAGCCGAUUCGCCCGGCAAGACCUGCAACAGUGGCUCCAAUUCGAGCAGCUCCUUGGCCAAGUGGCCCUGGCCCAACAAGGACUUUCGCAAGAGCUCGCUGAAUGUGGGACCCACCGAUCGGCCAAGGAAAUCUCGCACGCCCAGCAGUGGCGCCGAGUCCGAGGAACAGCAACAGGAACGCUCGCCCAGCGCUGGCUCCGAGGGUAGCAACGCCUCCAAUCGCAAAACAAACAAGCUGACAAAUGGCAAGGCAACAACGUCUGCCAAUCGCCAGCUAAAAGCACACAAAUCCUGCGCGCCCAGCAGUGGGGCAAGUGGAGGAAGCAGCUGCUCGACGACAUCCGCCUGCUCCUCGUCGGACAGCGAGCAGCGGGGCAAGAGCAGUAAAAAGCAGAGCAAGAAAAAGGCCACAGUCAACGGCAGUCAACAGAAAGAGAAGCACAAAGAGAGGCAGAACGAUAAAGAUAAAGAUAAAGCAGUGGCAGAGACAGAGGCCGAGGCAGAGGCAGAGCGAGAGAGAGAGAGAGAAACAGAGGCGAAGGUCAGCAGUCAGGCAGGUGACAGCCAAUUAAAUGAGGAACACCAAAAUAGCCACAAGACCGAAGCCUCCACUGACUCACUGAAUCGGACCAAGCACCAGCAUCAGCAACAUCAGCAGCAGCAGCAGCAAUCGCGUCUGAAGAAGCUCUCGGAUGUAUCGAAUUUUUUUGCCACUCGUCAGACGGACGCAAAUAGUGAGCCGAUCUUCCUCGAAAGCUCCGAGAGCAGCGCCGGCAGCGAGGCCGAAAUGCAGCCAUCGUUGAGCGGCACACAGAUCAGUCUAGCGUUAGACACGCAAACGAACGAAACGAGCGAGGUGAAUCCUUUGCGGAUGCAUCAAGCACCAAGCACAACGAUAUCGACAACGACAACGAUACCCCCAAGUAGCAACAACAGUUCCAGCACCCAUUGUCCCAAGGAGACAACAACGACGACGACCACGACGACGACGAGUCCCAGCAACGGCAUCAAGGACACCACAACGACGACAGAGAGUCUGACGACGCGUGAACAGGACCCGGAUACCGAGGAGCCCAGCUGGUGGCAGGACACAAGUCUGCAAAUAAAUACAGCCUCCGCUUUGGAUUACAACAAUCGCAGCGAGAUGCCCUACAGAUUGAGGCACAUCGAUUCGGGUGAUGACCACGCGUGGUGGCUGCGACAGGAUGCAACUGCUGACGAGGAUGAUACCCUGGCGGAGGAAACGCUCAAUCCGCUGGAUGAUGAGCAUGAGGAUGUGAGUGCUGCGACAGAGGAGCAGAACAGCAGAACAGGUGGCUGGUGGAGCAGCAGCAAGGAUGAUAAUCUAGACGAGAGCAACGAGAAUCAGGCAAAUCUCAUCAAUGGCCACGGAUGUGGUCAGGAGUCGGAGCACAGCGAGGAGAUUAAACGUAUGCCCAGGAGUCACAUCUCGCCGGAACAGGAUGCCUGGUGGCUGGAGGAGCAACAGGAGCAACAGGAGCAACAGGAGCAGCAGCAGCAGCAGUCCAAACAAAAUGGCUACCACGAGGAUGUCAAUAACAAUGAGCCACAUGUGGAGGUGACCAUAAAGCUGCCCAGCAGCACUGAACGCGCCAAGAACUGCUCCUCCUCUAGCCACUCUGGCGAGAGUGCCCCGCCCUGGUGGCAAACGGGACCCGCCAAAAAGCUGUUCAAUGUGCAGCGCGUGGAGAGCGGGGAACGUGCCUGGUGGCAGGAGGAGAAGGAGAACGAGCCACCGCCAGUGAAGCCACCAACGCCACCGCCACGCAUCAUCAAGCAUUGGGAGUCGGGCGAGCGAGCCUGGUGGCUGCUGGACGAGGAACCGAAGAACAAGGAGCUGCCUCAACCAGCCACCGACGAAGUGGAUCAUGAGGAUCAGCAAGAUUUGCUGAACAGCUCCUUCAAUUUCACAUACUCGGUGCGUCCCCCUCCCCUGGGCCAAUGUGCCAGCCCAGUGCCAGUGGAGCCCCAGCAAAAGCUCUGCGAAUCGCCCUACGAUAACAUUCCAAUGUCAAAAGUUCAAAUGGCAAUGCCGCCGUCGCAGUCGCAGUCGCAGUCGACGUCAGCGCCAGCGCCGCCACCACGCUAUUCAUAUAACCCACCACGUGUGGGCGAUAAGCUUUUCAUAUCGCGUCAUCAGAAUAUCGAUGAGCUUUUGGGUGGCGCAUGCCGACCGCUCAGUCCGCUCUUUUAUAGCGGCGCCGUGGAGAGCGAUGCGUCUGCGUCGGCGCUGCCAUUGGCGAGCAAGAAUAUGUUUCUGCUCGAAGAGAUUACGCCGGAUCAGGUGCGCAUUCACGAUAGCACCGCUCAGCUGCCGGUCAUACAGCGCAUGCAGCGCGAUGUGGAAUGGCUAGAGAAUGGCAGCAACAGCAACUUUUAUGAGCAGCAGAAGCAGCAGCCGCAGCAGCGCAGGAUCGAUGACGCAGCUAUUCAGGUGUACAAGGAUGGUGACUUUGGCGCCUAUCUGGAUCUGGAGUCAUCGCUGGCCGAGCAGACCGAGGAAAUCGAGGGCCUACAAGACGGUCGCAAAAACUCAUUGGUCAUUCGCACACAGCUGAGUGUUCGCGUUCAUGCCAUUAUAGAGAAACUACUCUCGUCGGAGGGCAGCGAUCUGCGCAGAGCAUUGUUCUCCCUCAAGCAGGUGUUCCAAGAGGACAAGGAUCUGGUGCACGCCUUUGUCGCCAUGGGCGGUCUCAAUUGUCUGGUGCGCGUCGGCAAUUGCUCCGAUCAAAACUAUCAAAACUAUAUACUACGCGCCCUGGGACAGGUCAUGCUCUAUGUGGAUGGAAUGAAUGGCGUUAUGAAGCAUCAGCCCACCAUGGAGUGGCUCUACUCAUUGAUCGCAUCCAGUUACAGAUCGGUGGUCAAGACAGCGCUCAAGUUGCUGCUCGUAUUCGUUGAAUAUGCCGAGUCCAAUUGUUAUGUGCUUGUGAGCGCCAUUCAUGCUGUGGAUGAAGCACAAGGCACAUUGCCCUGGGCAAAUAUAAUGAGACUGCUUAAGGACUACGACAAUGCAGAUGCCGAGCUGGUCAUCUAUGCAACAUCGUUGAUCAAUAAAACACUAGCGGGCCUGAACGAUCAGGAUAGUUUCUACGAUGAGAGCGAUCUGCUGGAACAGCAGGGCAUGGAUACGGUUAUCCAGCGUUACAUGUCCAAGCCGGGCACCGAUCUCGAUCUGCUCGAUCAACUCCAGUUGUACGAGGCAGUUCUAAAAUUCGAGGAUGGCGAGUCGGACGGACAGCGUUUGCCACAGAAUUCAAUGCGAAAGACGCAACGCCAUCGUCCCGGCGCCAACACAACAGAGCGACGCAAAUCGCGACGCCACAGCACGGAUAAUAGUCCAGCGCCGUUGACCAAAGUGCUGCCCACAUCGGUGCUAAGAACGACACCGGUACAGGCCACACUCGACGAGGAUGACAGCUCGGGUUCCACAAACUCCACGGAGUUUAGCAGCGGCAUAUUUCAGGAGAAGAAACCACGCGAUGGCGCUGGUGUAACACCGGGACUGCGACGACGUCGGGAGCGUGCCGAGCGGCACAAGAGCUUCCUCAAGGAGCAGGGAGAGGCGGCUGCGAAUCGCAUCUUUGCUGCACGAGAGCUGCGUGAAAACUACGAUCUGGAGGAUAAGGAAAUGCUAAUGCAACUGAAACGUGAUCAUACCGUCAAGGAUCUAACACAUAAAUUGAGCAAUCUGCCCAGCAGUCCCACACAGGAGGCGGGAAAUCGCGCCAUAGUCGGCGACAUGUCCGGCCUCAUAUCGAAAGCCAAAGAGGGGCUUGCCAAGAGCAAGAGCAAGGGUGAAAUUUCACGCUCAUCGAGCGUCGAUCAGGAACUGAAAAAGUCUGAGCCGAAGAAAUCGGAGAAUGAACUACACUGGGAGGAACUGGUGCGCAAUAUGACGCGACCCCUGAACUUAUGUGAUCUUGACUUUACCGAUCUGCAUUCGGACGAUGAAAAGGAUGUGUUGGCGCCCCGUGGUCUCGGCGCAGGCAUACCGCCACCACCACCACCCUUUGGUGGUGGCAUGGUGUUGCCACCGCCCAUGAUGCCACCCUGUCUGGCACCGCCGCCCAUGUUCAGCUACGGCGGCUACGGCGCCGGCAGUCUUACAAACAGUGUAAAUAGCUCGCUGAAUGGUUCUGUGAAUGGCGAUCUGGCCAAUGGCAAUACUACUAUCAAAAAGAACAAAAAGACGGUUAAGCUCUUCUGGAAGGAAGUGCGUGAGGAUAUGAUACCGCAGGUGGUGGGUAAAACCAUUUGGGAUGAGCUACCCAAUGCGAAUGUGGACACCCAGAAGCUGGAGCAUCUCUUUGAGUCACGGGCCAAAGACUUGAUGACCAAGGAGAAACAACAAGAGUUGAAUAAGAGCAAAGAGAUUAUCGUCCUGGAUCACAAGCGCUCCAAUGCAAUCAAUAUUGCAAUGACAAAGCUGCCUCCGCCGCGGGCAAUCAAGGCGGCCAUUUUGAAGAUGGAUGCCACUGUGGUCACGAGGGAGGGCAUUGACAAGCUGCUGAAUAUGCUGCCCACGGAUGAGGAGCGCGGCAAGAUUCAAGAGGCACAGUUGUCGAAUCCAGACUUGCCGCUUGGCAGUGCCGAGCAAUUUCUCCUCACCUUAGCCACCAUCUCAGAGCUGGGCGCUCGUCUCAAGCUCUGGGCUUUCCGGCUGGACUUUGACAAUUGCGAGAAAGAGAUUGCCGAACCGCUGAUGGAUCUCAAGCAAGGCAUUGAGAUCUUGCGUCAGAAUCGCACCUUCCGCUGCAUACUCUCCACUUUGCUCUCCGUGGGCAUCUUCCUCAAUGGUGCUCCUGUGAAGGGUUUCCAGAUCGAGUAUCUGGCCAAGGUGCCGGAGGUGAAGGAUACGGUGCACAAGCACUCGCUGCUGCAUCAUCUCUGCCACAUGGUCAUGGAGACGAGCAGUGACACCAGUGAUUUAUACUCGGAAAUUGGUCCAAUUACGCGUGCCUCGAAAGCGGACUUCACAGAUCUCGCACAGAAUCUCAAUCAAUUGGAGGCGGAAUGCAAGGCCUCCUGGGAUCGCCUAAAGCUAAUAGCCAAGCAUGAAUGUGCACCGAAGCUUGUCGACUUCCUGGCCGAUUGUGCCGAGCGCAUCAUUAGUCUGCAAAUUGUCCAUCGGCGUGUGAUGAAUCGCUAUCGCAAGUUUCUACUGUGGCUGGGCAUGCCCCAGCACAGUGUGGCCGAGUCGCGACCCAAUGAGUUCUGUCGCACACUCUCCGAGUUUGCGCUGGAGUAUCGUACGACGCGGGAGCGUGUGCAGCAGCAGCUGGAGAAGAAGGCCAAUCAUCGCGAGCGCAAUAAGACGCGUGGCAAACUGAUCAUUGACAUGGCCAAGUUCAAGACCAAAGAGGAUGUCGCCGAUGCAGAGCUGAAACAACUGCUGGGCACUCCCACUCCCGAUCAAACGGAUGGCACCCUCACCUGGCGUCGCCGUCGCGCUGAGCAGCUGCGCUCACCGAUCGCUCGUCAGAGUGAGGAGCAGUUCACCGAUGGCGAUGAUGAAAUACUCGAAUCUCUCGUCAAGACCGUCACGAAGACGGCCGGGACUAGAACGACGCCCAGGGAGCGAAAGCGUACGCGUCAUGCGGACCGCAAAUCCUUGAAGCGCAGCCGCACGCGCGAGGGAUUCACAGUUGAAAGAGCACCAUCGCCAUAGAAAGCGUAACCGUUACCAAAAAUCAAAAUAAUAAUAAUGAAACGCAUUACAAAUGAAGAACAACCAACCUGUUUGUUUUUUAGGCUUACACUGUUUUUGUGCGUCGAACGCUGAAGAACGGUCUCACCGAUGAGGAGAAACAGCACGUGGCUGCCCUAAUACAAACCUAUUAGAGCUAUGGCAAGCCCCAAUGCAAUUCCCAAAAAAACCCUAAACCCCCCAGUGACGUCACAAGUCGGGUAUGCGUGCACAGACUGAAAUUGGCGAUCUCAUGUGCAGCAGAACGGAGCAGAACAGAAACUGGAAAUGUGGAACUGGUCCUAACCGAACCGAAUCUCUCCCCAAAAUCUGAUAACGACAAAGUCCCUUCAAAGUUCUCUUAUAUUAUUUCUGUUAUUCGAUAUUUUCGUUUUUACUUUGUCUAAGUAUUACAAUUAAACAUAUUUUUAUUGUAACAUCAACUGUAUUAAUAGCCAAACAAAUUAUAUAUAUAAUUUUAGAAUUUGAAAUCAGACAACAUUUUGAUAAACACAAUUGUCCCACAAUUUGAAUUUGUACCGAUCUGCGACCUUACGAAAUUAACUUAAUUACUCGUAAUUAUAACUUAGCCUUAAUUUAACAACGAAAAUAAAUAAAAAUACAUACAUA